GGUUCGUGCACACUGCCUCCAACAUCCGGGACAUACAGGGGGCAAAAGAACUGUUGCCUACCCUGGGACUUCCCAUAGUCUCCAUGACCCUCGCAGAGACAAACAUCACACCAGCACACUCAUCCACCUGGAACCCUGCAAAAGUGGUCCCGUUCGUCCCCAGAUGGGCCGAGACAGCGGCUAACACAGCGGCCAAAACCUGAUGCAGCCACAAUACCAACCUGCUACCAGAUCACAGGUUCUCAGCAGAACCAUUCCUCCCACUGACUGAACUUAUAUACAUGUUAAGAUGUUUUCAAAGUUGUUGAUAUUUUCAGGGCUUUUUGUUAUAGGGCACCCACACUGAUACUAGCCACUCACAACACCUCCAUUCCAAACGUUCUGUGGCUCCCUUAGACUCCCCCCCUUCUCCCCUACACACCCGGGGUUACAGGGUUUAUUCAAGCAACGCUAGCUUGGGGCAUUAAAGCACCAGCCUCACACCAAACCCAAG